AUGGCGGCCGCGGCAGCAGUGGCACCGGAGAAGAAGCUCACGCUGAGGAGCUCCGACGGCGUGGAGUUUGUGGUGGAGGAGAUGGUGGCGAUGGAGUCACAGGCCAUCAAGCACAUGAUCGAGGAUGACUGCGCCAACAACAUCAUCCCCCUCCCCAAUGUAAUAGCAGAGAUCCUUGCCAUGGUCAUCAAAUACUGCAAGCAGCACGUCGAGAAGCACGGAGCCGAAGCCACAGACUCCACCACCAAGGCCUCCGAGCGGUACCUCAAGACCUUCGACAAGGAUUUCGUCGACGUCGAACAACGCAUCCUCUUCGACCUCAUCUUGGCUGUAAACUACCUGGACAUCAAGGGGUUGCUGGAUCUGACCUGCCAGAAGGCCGCUGACAUGAUAAAGGGGCUGACUCCAGAGGAGAUCCGUAGGACCUUCAACAUCAAGAACGACCUCACCAAAGAGGAAGUGGAUGAACUCUGGAUGAAGAACUAG
rnacentral:rRNA from 1 species